GCUUACGUAGUAUAGUGGUUAGUACUCCACGUUGUGGCCGUGGCGACCCUGGUUCGAUUCCAGGCGUGGGCA
rnacentral:tRNA from 1 species